rnacentral:rRNA from 1 species
CCCGUUAAUGGGUGAGAGCGUGCCUUUUGUAGAAUGAACCGGCGAGUUACGUUAUGAUGCGAGGUUAAGUUGAAGAGACGGAGCCGUAGGGAAACCGAGUCUGAAUAGGGCGACUUAGUAUCAUGAUGUAGACCCGAAACCUAGUGACCUAUCCAUGAGCAGGGUGAAGGUGUGGUAAGACGCACUGGAGGCCCGAACCAGGACACGUUGAAAAGUGUUUGGAUGACUUGUGGAUAGCGGAGAAAUUCCAAACGAACUGGGAGAUAGCUGGUUCUCUCCGAAAUAGCUUUAGGGCUAGCGUCGAAAUGUAAGUGUAUUGGAGGUAGAGCACUGUUUGGGUGAGGGGUCCGUCUAGGAUUACCAAUCUCAGAUAAACUCCGAAUGCUAAUACACAUGUUCGGCAGUCAGACUGCGAGUGCUAAGAUCCGUAGUCGAAAGGGAAACAGCCCAGACCAACAGCUAAGGUCCCAAAAUAUAUGUUAAGUGGAAAAGGAUGUGGGGUUGCACAG